ensembl:lncRNA
CCCGCACCGCGCCUGACCCCGCAGCCCCGCGGGCCGCUCCCCCACUCCAAAGCUGCUAUUUACGGGGCUUUCGCGUUUUCUUGCAAAUCAAGACCAAAAAAAAAAAAAAAAAAAAAAGAGAGAGAGAGAGGGAGAGAGAGAGAAAAGAAAAGCAAAAAAGAUGUAGAGAGCAAAACAAUGCGGGAGAUCUGGGCUGCAGCGGCAGAGCGGCUCCGGGAGCUGCUGGCCGCCCGCUCCGCACGGGCACGGCAGGGACAGGGAUAGGGCGGGGGGCACGGCCGCCCGCAGCCCUGAGUGCCGCCGCGGGAGCCACAGGUGUGCUCCUGUGGAAAGGUUUGUGGCUCACAGAUACCCAUGCGAUGUAUGUGAACCUUGUGAGUAGAAUGUCUGUAUCUUACUCUGAAGGUGUUAAUGUUGGAAAUGCUAAAUAAUGGGCAUUUCUCCCACGCAGAGAGAAAUCUGAAACUGCUGAAAUCAGAUAGUGAAAAAGAACUGCAAUUAGCUUGUACGAGUACUUGACAAUACAUCUGAUUUACCAACAAAUGAUUGUUCUAUCUUUCCAUCAGCUUUCUUUCAAGUCCAAGUGUGCAUUGUUUUUUAAUCAUUAGCUCUUGGAACAUGAUUUCAUUAACAAGAACACUUCGGCACUGUUAGAAAAUGAGAAUAGUUUAUAUUUGCAUUUGGUGACAACGUCUCUGCUUUCUGAGACACUGAAUUGUUUUGUAGCUUCUUGCAAGGGACAGUCUUGUUUAGCAGAGAGCUACAUCUUUG